rnacentral:rRNA from 1 species
AUUGAACGCUGGCGGAAUGCUUUACACAUGCAAGUCGAACGGUAGAGGGGGCAACCCCUCGAGAGUGGCGAACGGGUGAGUAAUAUAUCGGAACGUGCCCAGUCGUGGGGGAUAACGUAGCGAAAGUUACGCUAAUACCGCAUACGAUCUAAGGAUGAAAGCGGGGGAUCGCAAGACCUCGCGCGAUUGGAGCGGCCGAUAUCAGAUUAGGUAGUUGGUGGGGUAAAGGCUCACCAAGCCAACGAUCUGUAGCUGGUCUGAGAGGACGACCAGCCACACGGGACGUGAGACACGGUCCAGGCGCCUACGGGAGGAAGCAGUGGGGAAUUUUGAACAAUGGACGCAAGUCGGCUCCAGCCAUUCCGCGUGCAGGAUGAAGGCCCUCGGGUUGUAAACUGCUUUUGUACGGAACGAAAAGGUCUCUCUUAAUACGGGGGACUCAUGACGGUACCGUAAGAAUAAGCACCGGCUAACUACGUGCCAGCCGCCGCCGUAA